UCUCAGGACACUCGAGUUGGGAUCAGCUCAGAGUCGUGCUAUCCCAAUAGGAAGCCAGCACCCUUCCAGUGGCUUGCACGCUGCUCACAGUUAUAUAUGAGAGGGUGUGUACAGACACUGUCUCUCUCCCCCUGCCUCUGUCUGCCUCUCUCCCCAUUCCCUGGGGAGAUUCCAGAUCGGCACAGAUGCAGGAGACGGAGCUGUCCUCCAGCCCCGGGGGUUCUGCACAGGGAGCUGGGAAUCCAGGCAGGUGGGAGCCGGAUUUCCUCCUCACUGGGAGGUCCCGGCCCGAAGGGCUGGAAACCUGUGACUUAGGAGUCUCAGCUCCUCCCUCCCCGUGCAUGAGCAUCCAAAGAGCCAGUCCUGGGGGUGGCUGAAGAAGUCCUCAGUGGUGCAGAGAAACCUAUUCUUUCUCUGGCAAAGCUCCUGAUAUUCGGACCCCCUUCCUCCCCGCCAGCUCCUUUCCCCUAAAGGAAGAGGAAGAGCCCCCAGAUAACUACUCCCUCCUUCCACCUCCACAGGGUCCCAGACUCGGCUCUCCUGCCAUUGUUUCCAUGUCCCAGAGAAGGCUGGCUUGGAGCGCGGCAUCCUGCCCCUGGAACCCCGGCCCAGUGGCCCAAUAGAUCCUGAGGAGCUUCCCAACUUUGGGUCUAUCUUCAUCCUCCCCACUCUCCUCUCUAAGUCCUCUCCCAGACUCACCUGGGUUACAGAUGGGGCUGUGGAUGAAGGGAACUGAAAGGACAGGAUACACAGGGAGUCUCCGAACUGAGGAGUACAGGUGGGACUGUUCUGAGGAGCUUCUCAGGAGCCAACCCAUACACCGGGGACUCCCCACAGUGUCCCUGAGGAGUGACCGCCCAGCCUCUGUCCAAGGAGGGUAAUCCCCAUAUGACAGCGAUCCAGUGCCCAUCCCCAGCCGGACAGCCUCCUCCGCUCCCCCGCUGAUCAGCGGCCUUCCCCUGGUGCCCAAAUCUGAACCCAGAACAUGUCCUAGGGGCGGUCUGACCAGGACUACAAGCAGAGAUGAGAAGGAAGGGGGAAGUGACUGGACCAGGAGGACAAGUUAGGGUUCUGAAACCAAGUCUCUCUUGGCUGCAAGUCCAAAGUUCUGUUAACUGUUGUACAAUUACCUGGCAUGGCCCCACAGAAGCCAGACUGGGGAGAGAGCCCAGCAUUACCACGGGCAUUAAUGGAACUAUCUGUCGGCAGGAAGGAAGGCCCCCAGGAACACAAUAGUGCCCCGGCAAGGUUCAUCCCAACCAGUCUUCUCCAACUGAAGGCUGGAGGCUUGGCGAGGGGCUGGGCACUGAUACCAGCUGUUGACUCAUGGGCUCCCAUAGUCAGUCAUUCAAUCAAUCAGAGAAGAGGUGGGGAGGGUAGAGCAGCAGGAAGUGAACUAGCCUUGGGGUCCUUGGGCCACACGGGGGAAGGACUUCCCGGUUUCUCUCUAGAUUUUCUGGGGUUCUUUCUUUGCCUCUGCUCUCAUAACCAAUCCAUUAUCGACUGUUGUCACUUCAACUUCUGUACUGUUUCUCCAUGCCCACCCCUAGUCCCAGUCUACUGGAAUAGCCACCAAACAGAGCUCCAUGCUGUGACUUUCUCCCCAGUCUAAUCCAUCCCUCAUGCUGAUUACUAUCCUUUCUUGCACGAAAAGACUUCAGGUGACUUCCUGCGGUCUGCCAAGAAAAAAUACCUGCAGAGCUUUUCAAGUCCUGGGCUAUGGUAGGGGUUCAAUAAAUGUUUAUCUAAUUGACAGACUGAUUGAAGAAUCAAAACCUCAAAAGACCCAAAGGCUAAUGAGCAGAGCUACCUCAAGAAGAGGUAAUGAGCGCCUCCAAGCAGAGGCAGGAUAACUACUUGGUAGGGUUCUUAAAGAAGAGCAUCCUUAAUUUUAUAUCUCUAGAGGCCUUCUUGCAUAAAAUAAAGAGAAGGUCAAUGAAUUGGGCUUGCGACUAAAUCAAACACUAAACUUGAAAUUCUAAAAAUAAAGGGAGAGAUUAAUAAAAUUGAAAAUUUUUUAAAAAGAUUGAAUUAAUAAAUAAAACUAAGAGUUGGUUUUAUGAAAAAAAAACCAACAACAAAAUAGAUAAACCCUUAGUAAAUUUGACUUAAAAAAGGAAAGGAAAAUCAAAUUGUUAGUCUUAAAAAAGAUGAAAAGGGAGAACUUGCCACUAAUGAAGAGGAAAUGAGAGCAAUAAUUAGGAGUUGCUUUGCCCAAUUUUAUGCCAAUAAAUUCGAUAACUUAAGUGAAAUGGAAGAAUACCUUCAAAAAUAUAGCUUGCCCAGAUUAACAGAGGAAGAAGUAAAUUGAUUAAACAGUCCUAUUUUAGAAAAAGAAAUAGAACAAGCUAUUAAUCAACUCCGUAAGAAAAAAAAAAUCCUCUAGAAGAGAGUCCUUAUUGUGAACAUCCAGCCAUUCUGGAGAGCGAUUUGGAACUAUGUUCAAAAUGUUAUCAAACUAUGCAUACCCUUUGAUCUAGCAGUGUUUCUACUGGGUUUAUAUCCAAAGAGAUCUUAAAGGAGGGAAAGGGACCCACAUAUGCAGAAAUGUUUGUGGCGGCCCUCUUUGUAGUGGCAACAAACUGGAAACUGAGUGGAUGCCCAUCAGUUGAAGAAUGGCUGAAUAAAUUGUGGUAUAUGAAUGUUAUGGAAUAUUAUUGUUUUGUAAGAAACGAGCAGCAGGAUGAUUUCAGAAAGGCCUGGAGAGACUGACAUGAAUUGAUGCUGAGUGAAAGGAGCAGGAUCAAGAGAUCAUUAUACACUUCAACAACAAUACUAUAUGAUGAUCAAUUCUGAAGGACGUGGCCAUCUUCAGCAAUGAGAUGAACCAAAUCAGUUCCAAUGGAGCAGUAAUGAACUGAACCAGCUACACCCAGGGAAAGAACUCUGGGAGAUGACUAUGAACCACUACAUAGAAUUCCAAUCCCUCUAUUUUUGCCUGCCUGCAUUUUUUAUUUCCUUCACAGGUUAAUUGUACACUAUUUCAGAGUCCAAUUCUUUUUGUAAGCAAAAUAACUGUUUGGACAUGUAUACAUAUAUUGUAUUUAAUUUAUGUUUUAACAUGUUUAACAUGUAUUGGUCAACCUGCCAUCUGAGGGAGGGGGUGGAGGCAAGGAAGGGAAAAAUUGGAACAAAGGGUUUUGCAAUUGUCAAUGCUAAAAAAUUACCCAUGCAUAUAUCUUGUAAAUAAAAAGCUAUAAUUAAAAAAAAAAAACAA